rnacentral:rRNA from 1 species
UCCUGACUGACCGAUAGUGAACCAGUACCGUGAGGGAAAGGCGAAAAGAACCCCGGCGAGGGGAGUGAAAAAGAACCUGAAACCGUGUACGUACAAGCAGUGGGAGCACGCUUAGGCGUGUGACUGCGUACCUUUUGUAUAAUGGGUCAGCGACUUAUAUUCUGUAGCAAGGUUAACCGAAUAGGGGAGCCGAAGGGAAACCGAGUCUUAACUGGGCGUUAAGUUGCAGGGUAUAGACCCGAAACCCGGUGAUCUAGCCAUGGGCAGGUUGAAGGUUGGGUAACACUAACUGGAGGACCGAACCGACUAAUGUUGAAAAAUUAGCGGAUGACUUGUGGCUGGGGGUGAAAGGCCAAUCAAACCGGGAGAUAGCUGGUUCUCCCCGAAAGCUAUUUAGGUAGCGCCUCGUGAAUUCAUCUCCGGGGGUAGAGCACUGUUUCGGCAAGGGGGUCAUCCCGACUUACCAACCCGAUGCAAACUGCGAAUACCGGAGAAUGUUAUCACGGGAGACACACGGCGGGUGCUAACGUCCGUCGU